rnacentral:rRNA from 1 species
AUUGAACGCUGGCGGCAGGCCUAACACAUGCAAGUCGAGCGGUAGCACAGAGAGCUUGCUCUCGGGUGACGAGCGGCGGACGGGUGAGUAAUGUCUGGGAAACUGCCUGAUGGAGGGGGAUAACUACUGGAAACGGUAGCUAAUACCGCAUAACGUCGCAAGACCAAAGUGGGGGACCUUCGGGCCUCAUGCCAUCAGAUGUGCCCAGAUGGGAUUAGCUAGUAGGUGGGGUAAUGGCUCACCUAGGCGACGAUCCCUAGCUGGUCUGAGAGGAUGACCAGCAACACUGGAAAUGAGACACGGUCCAGACUCCUACGGGAGGCAGCAGUGGGGAAUAUUGCACAAUGGGCGCAAGCCUGAUGCAGCCAUGCCGCGUGUAUGAAGAAGGCCUUCGGGUUGUAAAGUACUUUCAGCGAGGAGGAAGGCGUUAAGGUUAAUAACCUUGGCGAUUGACGUUACUCGCAGAAGAAGCACCGGCUAACUCCGUGCCAGCCGCCGCAGUAA